rnacentral:lncRNA from 1 species
CAAGGGAGAGGACGGAGCAGGCAGCAUGGAGGAAUUUGCUCCAAUGCGCCCAGUCCGGGGAUGGAAGGAGGGUCUGGGAUCUGGCCUGCGCUUUUGCUCACACACAGGACACACUACAGGGGCUGUGGGGAACUGUCAAGGAUGUGGCUGACUCAGCAGCCCCAAGGUGUGCCUUCAUGCAGACGGGCUCACUUGAGGACGAGUAACAGAUGUCAACAUGAAUCCCCGUGGAAACAAACGACAGCCACUGGAACAAGCAGCAGCAGCCACGGACUCCGAGCCUGCAGGGCUGCUUUACCUUGAAAUGAGCCGCAACUGUGAUCUGGUACACGUCUUUUGGCCCAGGUGUGACAUCUUCUCAAGGGCGUCACCCAGGAAGACAUGGUCCUCAACCACCCUCUUCUAAUUUCUGCAACUGGAGAUACCGGAAGCUUUGAUGUAAGACACCUGGCUUCCAGUUUAGAACAGAUGACUUACGAAACCUGGGAGGCAUCAGCUGAUGUGACAAGUAAAGACAAAUCCUGGCACCAGACCCAAGUAAAAUCUGCUUUCAUAAAAG